AAAUUGCAAAUCUUUCAAGGGAAGCUAUUGAGGCGACCUCGAAUUCUCCGAUGGUGAAAGCAUCUCACCGUUGACAGCCGUAAUCACCGGCGAUCAGAAGGUGGGACCUACGAAAUAGACAUGACAGACGAGGAAACGGAUCAAAAUCGGAAAUAAAGAUGCCAAUGAUAAAAGCCUGUUUUUUGCUUGCUGAUGGAUGCAUGGUGCAUGUUCUUGGGGACCAGGUGGCGGAAGAAACCGAUAAGAGAAGAAGAUAAAGCUAGACAGGCAGUGGGCCAAUUGGCCCACUUACGACGUUAAAGUAGACUUUGGGCCUGUCCAAUUAACAAAACCUGGUUACAGUUGUACAAUUGCGACUAUUAUGCUUAAUCUUUCAUUUUCUUUCGUUUUAUCAUACCAUCGAUGUCCUUUGAUUUCACUAAUCCGUAGGGUGCAUGCACUUCAGCUUAAACUUACACGCCAGACAAAACUUUCCUUUCACAACAACUUGUCGAGGUUUGUUGGCUAAUAUCAAAGUAGGCAUUUGUACUAUGGACACUUGUUGAAAUUUACUAGCUAAUACGAAAAGAGGAAUUUGUAUAUCAUAUUGGUAGAGUAUAAAAAGACAGAUUGUUUGAUAUUUGCUGGCUAAUAUCAAAGGAUGAACUUGUAUUAUAUUGGUACAUAUAAAAAAAAGCAGAUUAUUGAGAUUUGUUGGCUAAUAUGAAAGAAGAAACCAGUGUCAUUUUUGUAUAGUACAAAAAGAAAAAGUAAGCGCCAUCAUCCAUGUCUAUAAAAAGAGUCUAGAGCUUUAACAUCAAAGUGUCUGGACCAAAAAUAUAUCUUUUUAAUAUAACGUUGAAAAAAAGUAUUGAAUAUUUUAUUAAAAGAUGCAUAAUAAUUUUGAUCUAAUUAGAACCAUACUAUCAACUUUUAGGUGUUAUUAGUUCAUAUUUUUAGUUAAUGCGGGAAAGGUAGCCA